ensembl:lncRNA
UGCGAGGCGAGCAGAGGCGAGUAGAGUAGAAUAGACAGGCGAGUAGAGUAGAGUAGAAUAGACAGGCGAGGCGAGUAGAGUAGAGUAGAAUAGACAGGCGAGUAGAGUAGAGUAGAGUAGAAUAGACAGGCGAGGCGAGUAGAGUAGACAAGACAGACAGGUGAGUAGACAGACAGGUGAGUAGACAAGACAGACGAGGUGAGGUGAGUAGACAAGACAGACGAGGUGAGGUAGAGUAGAGUAGAAUAGACAGGCGAGGCGAGGCGAGUAGA